rnacentral:rRNA from 1 species
AGUAGUCACGAGUUUGAUCCCUGGCUCAGAACGAACGCUGGCGGCAUGCCUAACACAUGCAAGUCGAACGAGACCUUCGGGUCUAGUGGCGCACGGGUGCGUAACGCGUGGGAAUCUGCCCUUAGGUUCGGAAUAACUUCGGGAAACUGAAGCUAAUACCGGAUGAUGACGUAAGUCCAAAGAUUUAUCGCCUAAGGAUGAGCCCGCGUUGGAUUAGCUAGUUGGUGAGGUAAAGGCUCACCAAGGCGACGAUCCAUAGCUGGUCUGAGAGGAUGAUCAGCCACACUGGGACUGAGACACGGCCCAGACUCCUACGGGAGGCAGCAGUGGGGAAUAUUGGACAAUGGGCGAAAGCCUGAUCCAGCAAUGCCGCGUGAGUGAUGAAGGCCUUAGGGUUGUAAAGCUCUUUUACCCGGGAUGAUAAUGACAGUACCGGGAGAAUAAGCUCCGGCUAACUCCGUG